rnacentral:lncRNA from 1 species
AAAAGGGAAAAAAGAAAAAUAGAAAGAAAAUAAAUAAAUAAAAAUAAAAAGUAAAAUAUAAUGAAAAGUUAAAUGAAAAAAUAAUAAGUAGAUAAAAAAAAGGUGGAGGUGCUUAAAUAAGAAAAAGGGGUGUAGAUCAAACUUAGUGCUAAUAACUGACUGGGCCAAAGCCCAAGUGGAAAUGGGGUAUGAAGAUGAGAAAUGAGGGUGUGGAUGAGAAUAGGGACUUGAGGCCCAGCAGAAAAAAUAAUGGGGUGCCUGAAUGAGAAACGGGGGUGCAUAUGUGGAAGGCAAAGCUGUAAGAGAGAGUUUUAUUCUUUUUUUGAUGAUUUUUUUUAGUUGGAUCAGAAGCUUAGGCCUAAGGCCUUUUUCGCUUCUUAGGUCAAAAAAGGGGAUUGUUCCCUCUACCUCCCCAUUUUCUCCUUCCACCUCCCUAACUUUCUGUUUUCUUUUUUUUAUUACAAAAAUAUUCUUUUCUAUUUACUUUUUUAACCUUUAUACUAUUUUUAUUUUUUUAUUUUAAUGUUAUAUACAGAAGUAAACCUAAAUUUACUUUUACUUUUUUUACUCACAGCUCCACCUCUCCAAAACUGCGAUCUGUCUCUUUUUCGACUCCGUCACACUCUUCUCUUCUAUCUGUUUUUCAUCCAAACUCUCGGCGUCAACAUUCGGAUAUCUAUGUUGAAGAAAAAAUGGAUGUCGAUAUUCGUUUGCGGAU